AACGAACGCUGGCGGCAGGCCUAAUACAUGCAAGUCGAGCGCGCCCUUCGGGGUGAGCGGCGGACGGGUGAGUAACGCGUGGGAAUAUGCCCUUCUCUAAGGAAUAGCCUCUGGAAACGGAGAGUAAUACCUUAUACGCCCUUUGGGGGAAAGAUUUAUCGGAGAAGGAUUAGCCCGCGUUAGAUUAGGUAGUUGGUGGGGUAAUGGCCUACCAAGCCUACGAUCUAUAGCUGGUUUGAGAGGAUGAUCAGCCACACUGGGACUGAGACACGGCCCAGACCCCUACGGGAGGCAGCAGUAGGGAAUCUUAGACAAUGGGGGCAACCCUGAUCUAGCCAUGCCGCGUGUGUGAUGAAGGCCCUAGGGUCGUAAAGCACUUUCGCCAGAGAUGAUAAUGACAGUAUCUGGUAAAGAAACCCCGGCUAACUCCGUGCCAGCAGCCGCGGUAAUACGGAGGGGGUUAGCGUUGUUCGGAAUUACUGGGCGUAAAGCGCACGUAGGCGGAUUAGUAAGUUAGAGGUGAAAUCCCAGGGCUCAACCCUGGAACUGCCUUUAAUACUGCUAGUCUUGAGUUCGAGAGAGGUAAGUGGAAUUCCGAGUGUAGAGGUGAAAUUCGUA
rnacentral:rRNA from 1 species